GGCUAGGUGGCGGAGUGGUUAACGCGGUAGACUCGAAGGAAUUCGUGCUAUCUACUUCCUUCGGGAGCGUCUGUUCGAAUCAGGCCCUAGUCG